rnacentral:piRNA from 1 species
UUCCUAUAUUCUAUGGUGUUCUGUCACCCGA